UACCCGCAGCACAAGUGGUGGUCAUUAUUAUUGGGCCUAAAGCGUCCGUAGCUGGCUUGUUAGAUGCCUGGGUAAAUCGAUGCGCUCAACGCAUCGAACUCCGGGUAGACCGGCAAGCUUGGGACCGGGAGAGAUGUGAGCUACUCGAGGGGUAGGGGUAAAAUCCUGUAAUCCUUCGGGGAGGACCAGUGGCGAGGGCGUCACAUUAGAACGGCUCCGACAGUGAGGGACGAAGCCCUGGGGCGCAAACCGG
rnacentral:rRNA from 1 species